rnacentral:rRNA from 1 species
UACGUAGGGGGCAAGCGUUGUUCGGAAUUACUGGGCGUAAAGCGUGCGCAGGCGGUUUUGUAAGCCAGAUGUGAAAUCCCCGGGCUUAACCUGGGAAUGGCAUUUGGGACUGCAAGGCUGGAGUGUGGCAGAGGAGACUGGAAUUCCUGGUGUAGCAGUGAAAUGCGUAGAUAUCAGGAGGAAUACCGAUGGCGAAGGCAGCCCCCUGGGCUAACACUGACGCUCAGGCACGAAAGCGUGGGGAGCAAACAGG